rnacentral:tRNA from 1 species
GAGGGUAUAGCUCAGUGGCAGAGCGCAUGCUUAGCGUGCACACGGUCCUGGGUUCAAUCCCCAGUACCUCCU